GAAAAAUUUGUGUGAUGAGAAUGAGAUGAUGAUUGUGAUAUGUUUCCCUAUUGGUUUGAUUGCCGUAAUGAUGGCAAACAUUCUGUCGUAGCUCUAUCUGAUCAUUCUCUUUCACAUUAUAAUCUUUUAUUUUGCUAUGUACCUAAAUCAUGUCAUUUUUCAACAUGUUGUAAGGAGAUGAUGAUUUAUGUUUGUUUCCCUAUUGGUUUGAUAGCCGUAAUGAUGGCAUCUUCCAAUGUAUUAGCUCUAUCUGAUCAUUCUCUUGUUUUAUGACUUGAUCCCUUGACUGCUUAAACUUUUGACUUAGAUUUGAGAGUUCUGAACUAUAUGUUAGUUAUCUUUGGUUUUUAAUUAUUGAGGGUGAAAUGAUGAUUAUAAUAUGUUUCCCUAUUGGUUUGAUCGCCGCAAUGAUGGCAAACAUAUUAGCUCUAUCUGAUCA
rnacentral:misc_RNA from 1 species